UGUGAGGGCCUCAACACCCUAAAGGUGCCAGAUCUCAUCUGAUCUUGGAAGCUAAUCAGGGUUAGGGCUGGUUAGUACUUAGAUGGGAGACCACAAAAAAUCAGGUUCUGUAGGUA
rnacentral:rRNA from 1 species